rnacentral:lncRNA from 1 species
AGGGAAAUCUCAACUAAAUCUGGGCAAAAUUUUUCAGACUGAAUGUUAAUCUUCAUACAUCUUCAAGAGCCGAGAAUGUCAAUACCUUGCUUUCUAUCAUCCACCUGUAAAUAUUGUGUUUGAUCACCCCCACCCCAAACCCACAAAAGUUUAGCUUUUUUGUUUUUACAGUGCAUGAAGUCUUUAAAAAAAAUAAAAUAAAAUAAAAAAUUACUAUAAGGUUCUAGUCUUCCAAAAAUCAAAUGAAACCUAAUUUUUUAGUCACAAUUAAAGCUACCAUUUUUUAUAGUAAAAAAUUACAACACUGCAUCAUCCUCCAGAAAAAUGAUCAAAAUUACACGGAAAAAAAUCCCAAAUUUUCUCAGCAAACAACACCAGUAAUCAAUCUUUUUCCCAAUCAACAAUCAUGAGAACAAGAACAACAUCAAUAACCAAAUACACGUCACAUUCAAAACAAAACACGAAAUCAAAAAGCCAAAAUCCUUUACACAACGCAUAAGUACAGCAAAAGGGAUCCUGCAGUUGGAAAUAUAAAUAAUUCCAUUAAACAGAGAAAAAAUUUUACCAGC